UACAGCGUCUUCUUGGGUCCUUCUCGCGAGUCGCGUCCUCCUCAGCUGACGUGGAAGGCUUUUUUUAAUCUUAAAAAUCUGCAUCAAAAAUAGGACAUUAAACAGCUUUAAAAAAAAAAAUUCAAAUCAAACUAAAAGUCUGGAAUACGCUUCCCUUCCCCUCCAAAAUUUUCAGCUCCUCCCUCUCGCUCGCUCUCCGGUCGUCCACCGGCGGCGUUGUUUCUGUCUCGCCGUUUGUCUCUCUCGGCGGUCGGCCACCUUCAAAACCCAUUGAGAAAGAAUCGGAUUCUCACUUGAUCAGCUACAGUCCUGUUCCCCCAAAAAGAGCUAGAAUUGAAACGAUGAGUUCAAUCUCUGAAAGCCUGCAAUGCAGCCGGAGAAUAAACGAGAUAGUCCUGAAUCUGUAAUCUUUUGAUGAUUAUCUGCGGGCCAUGACUGAGCGUAAGGGGAAUAAAGGAGGGUUGUGGUGGCUCAAGAUUAUUUGGAUUGUCAAACGCAGAGUCGGUGAGAUUAUCUGGAAUCUUCCUGACAAAUGGUUUUAUACGGAAGCCAAGGGGAGAAUGCGAAAGAGGAGCCGUGUCUGCAGAUUGCGUUUGGGAGUGGCUUCAACUGUAAUAGUGCGGUUUGGGAGGCCCUGAGGAAUGUAAAACCUUCUCCUAAUAGUCCUUGGGAAGAUUGCAUUCAUAUGUAUCCGGUACAGACAGUUGCAUAGCUCGACCACAAUUCGGUUGGGCUCUGGGAUGUCUCGAUAGUUUGAACCAGGCAAUUAUCUUGUUCUUCUGUCCUCCCUUGUCACUUUUUAUGUUUAGAACAAAAGCCAUAAUAUGUGGGCUUGUCUUUAUUUCUGGUAUGUAUUGUGUCUGGAUUAAUAUGGUGUAUGCAUUCCUUUUUUCAAAGGGAUAUAUAUAUAUAUAUAAGAUCCAGCUGUACAUGGAGUUCA